rnacentral:rRNA from 1 species
AGGUUACUGCUAUCGGUGUUCGCCUAAGCCAUGCGAGUCAUAUGUAGCAAUACAUGGCGUACUGCUCAGUAACACGUGGAUAACCUGCCCUUGGGUCCGGCAUAACCCCGGGAAACUGGGGAUAAUUCCGGAUAACGCACAUAUGCUGGAAUGCUUUAUGCGUAAAAUGGAUUCGUCUGCCCAAGGAUGGGUCUGCGGCCUAUCAGGUAGUAGUGGGUGUAAUGUACCUACUAGCCAACAACGGGUACGGGUUGUGAGAGCAAGAGCCCGGAGAUGGAUUCUGAGACGUGAAUCCAGGCCCUACGGGGCGCAGCAGGCGCGAAAACCUUACAAUGCGGGAAACCGUGAUAAGGGGACACCGAGUGCCAGCAUCAUAUGCUGGCUGUCCAGGUGUGUAAAAUACACCUGUCAGCAAGGGCCGGGCAAGACCGGUGCCAGCCGCCGCGGUAACACCGGCGGCCCGAGUGGUGAUCGUGAUUAUUGGGUCUAAAGGGUCCGUAGCCGGUUUGGUCAGUCCUCCGGGAAAUCUGACGGCUCAACCGUUAGGCUUUCGGGGGAUACUGCCAGGCUUGGAACCGGGAGAGGUAAGAGGUACUACAGGGGUAGGAGUGAAAUCUUGUAAUCCCUGCGAGACCACCUGUGGCGAAGGCGUCUUACCAGAACGGGUUCGACGGUGAGGGACGAAAGCUGGGGGCACGAACCGGAUUAGAUACCCGGGUAGUCCUAGCCGUAAACGAUACUCGCUAGGUG